AGAUGAGGUAGAGGUGCAAAAAUUAAAAGUAUUACUAGGGAGGUAUUAGGAUACCUGUGAACUAGUAAAAAAGGAAUUUUUGCCGAAGUCUAAUAGAUUCCUAAAUUAUUAGGCUGGGUCUGUACUUAAGAGGUACAGGACUGUCAUCUAUAGUUACCCGACCUUAGAUGGAGUGCUAUCUCAGUA
rnacentral:ncRNA from 2 species